rnacentral:tRNA from 1 species
AAGGAUAAGGAAACCUGCCAUUUGCGUCUUGUUUAGUUUUGAGAGGUCUUGUGGGGCCUUAGCUCAGCUGGGAGAGCGCCUGCUUUGCACGCAGGAGGUCAGCGGUUCGAUCCCGCUAGGCUCCAUUGAAUCGAAAGAUUCAAAUUGUUCAUUGAAAAUUGAAUAUCUAUAUCAAAUUCCACGAUCUAGAAAUAGAUUGUAGAAAGUAACAAGAAAAUAAACCGAAAACGCUGUGAAUAUUUAAUGAGUUUUCUAGUUUUAAAGAAACUAGGUUAAU